GGGUCCAUAGUUCAAUGGAUAGAAUAGCGGCCUCCGAAGCCGUAGAUACAGGUUCGACUCCUGUUGGACCUACCA
rnacentral:tRNA from 1 species